rnacentral:rRNA from 1 species
UAGAGUUUGAUCCUGGCUCAGGAUGAACCUUUGCGGGAGGCUUAAUACAUGCAAGUCGAGCGGUAAGUUUUUAUAGCAAUAUGAAGACCUAGAGCGGCGCACGGGUGAGUAACGCGUACACGACCUGGCCUAAACUGGGGGAUAGCCUUGGGAAACUGAGAGUAAUCCCGCAUGUGAUUAUGUUACUGAUGGUGAUAUAAUUAAAGCUUCGGCGGUUUAGGAUGGGUGUGCGUCUGAUUAGCUAGUUGGUAGUGUAACGGACUACCAAGGCGAUGAUCAGUAGGGGGCGUGAGAGCGUGACCCCCCACACGGGUACUGAGACACGGACCCGACUCCUACGGGAGGCAGCAGUAAGGAAUAUUGGUCAAUGCCCGGAAGGGUGAACCAGCCAUCCCGCGUGAAGGAUGAAGGGGCUCUGCCUUGUAAACUUCUUUUGUAUGGGGCGAANAAAGGGGAUUUAUCCUCGACUGACGGUACCAUAAGAAUAAGCACCGGCUAACUCCGUGCCAGCAGCCGCGGUAAUA